AAGGUUCUAUUUUGGUGAUACAUGGAUUUCUAAACCAAAACUUCACUUGUAUGACUUGAAAUUUUGAUGAUAUCUUGGAAAUAAAAGAAUCUUGAACAACCAUCUCUCACCCCUUAUCUUCUUCACCUGCCUUGAAAAUCACCUCUACAACCAUUCUUCUCCAUUCCCACCACUAUCUACGUCACUAUCACAACGUCGUCAUCUUCUUCACCCUACUUUAACCUCCAUUAUCACCUAUCUUGAAAUCCAACAAACCCUUAGAUAACUGGUUAAGUUUUGGCCUAAAACUAAAAUAAAAAUCAAACAAAACAAUCAUCUUUUUUGGUUUAAAUAAACAAAUCAAGAGUACAAAUCAAAUAUAAGUUGUUGCAAGCAAAUGGUUAGAAACGGUGAUGCUAAAGUAACUAUAAAGUCUCAUGUGUAAAGGGAAAACAUUAUGGUUCUUAAUUUUAAGCUAAACGAAUUCAAUUUUAGUUGUAAAUCCUUUUGAUUAUCGCUUGAAUAAUCGAACUUGACCUUCACCAACAUCUUUUGAUUAUCCAAAGCGCAUAAAAUAAUAGUUACAAUAUCAUUUUUUUAAUAUUCCAUAUCAAUUAUCACUUUUCAAGUAAAAAUGAUUGAAGGCAAGUUUAGAAACUUAAAAUUUAUCAGGAACUUGAUCACAAUUGUAAUCAAGAUCAUGCAUAUUGUAAACAAAACUACAAGACUAAAAGAGGAAUUUAUCAGGAAAUGGAGGAAAUGGAUGGGGAUCAAUGGGGAAAUCGAUGAUGAGGGCUUACCGGAGAAAUUAGUGGAAACAGGGUGAGGUGAUAGAGGUUGUACAACAUCGACCAGAGUGGAUUGAUGCAUGAAGAAGUUGGGGCCGAUAGAAACGUGAAUAGGAUAGAAUCGAUGAAGAAGAUAGAAUCAAUUUUAGAGAUGAGAAAUCAAAAGCUUACCAUCGAUUUGGAGGAUUUCGAUGGCAAUGACGAUGGAGGACGAAAGCGACGGCGACAAUGACGACAAGGCUAGAUGAUGGCGGUGAUGUCAUAGGGAUGAAGGAUUU
rnacentral:lncRNA from 1 species